rnacentral:misc_RNA from 1 species
GUAGGUGAACCUGCGGAGGGAUCAUUACACAAAAUAUGCAGGCCGGGCAGCGUCAAGCGGCCCUGGCUGAAUUAUUUCACCCAUGUCUUUUGCGCACUUGUUGUUUCCUGGGCGAGUUCGCUCGCCACCAGGACCAAACCAUAAACCUUUUUUAUGCAGUUGCAAUCAGCGUCAGUAUAAUAAUGUAAAUCAUUACAACUUUCAACAACGGAUCUCUUGGUUCUG